CUUUAAAACUUCCAGUGAUGGAACAUUCACAACUUUUGAAGGAGUCCCCAACCCCCGAUCUAUGGACCGGCACUGUUUUGCAACAUGUCAGAAACCAGGCUACCCAAACAAGUGAAACCCCAUCCAUGGGAUGCAGGCAGCAUGUGAAACCACGUCCACUCUGAUCUGUGGAAAAACCUCUCCAUGGAACCGCUCCAUUGCCUAAAAGGCAACUUUGCGGGCCACUGAUUUAUAGGAUAAAUAGGAAUAUAUGAACAAGCUGGGCCAGUUUCACUUUUGUGACUUAAUAACUUAAGCCCCCCCCCGCCCCCAUGUCAUCUUUUGCAUCCCACAACACAGCAUAUUCAUGGGGCAUGUGCCUCUUAACUGGUAAGCUAAAAGGCUAUAUCAUUGCUCUGUGCCUAUUUCAGUGCUUAUAACACAUGAAGCAAGAGGAAUCACAAAAGAUGGGCUAAUGGAAAAAAAGAGCUUUGGCACAUUCGUCGUCCAGAAUAGAAGCUCCUUCCUCAUCACAUCCAGCAGGAGAUAAUUGCCAGAAAUAGAGUCACAGCUAUUGUAUUCUUCCCACGACCAUUGAUGAGCCCCAAGUCACUGAUGAUCUACAAAUGCAGUGUAGCAUUCACUGGAUUCACCACAGGUGUUGAGCUCAAGUUACAUUUCUCUGGGAAUGGAAGAGUCAGUCACACUCCUAACCAUUUAAGUGCUGUGAUAAGGUUUGCUUUUCCUCACUUGCCUGUUCUCCUCCCAUCACUGAUGCACUGUCACCUUGCUAAUAGAAGCAGGAACUAUUUUAGUGACUAGAGACUUUUAGAACAAUGUAUACAAACAACUUCAAUGCUAGCAGCCUCCAGGCGAAUGAACUAGUUCUUCCAUGGCACUUAUGACAAUCGACUUAUGACUAACCAUGUCAGAUGUUGCAGAGAGAGGCUAUUUCUAUACCAGAAACUCAUCAUUUCAGUUCUCCAAAUCCUUGUCUUCAUGUGGCCAAAAUAGUUCUCACCACUGACAGAAGAGAAGCAUCAACAGUCUAAAGAAAACCCUAUUUGCAGACAUAAUAUAUUUUAAGGGGAGAAAACAAAAUGACACUUUUCCAGAUUUUUAUUUUUAUUUUGUACCAAAGUUCUGAACAAAUGACUUAAAUUACAUAGUAAUGUUUUGUUAUGCAAAAAUAUUCCCAAAAUACUGGUGGAAAAAUAUUAAAAAGUAUCAAAAAUUAA